rnacentral:rRNA from 1 species
UAUUAUGAGAGUUUGAUCCUGGCUCAGGACGAACGCUGGCGGCGUGCCUAAUACAUGCAAGUCGUACGCUUCUUUUUCCACCGGAGCUUGCUCCACCGGGAAAAGAAGAGUGGCGAACGGGUGAGUAACACGUGGGUAACCUGCCCAUCAGAAGGGGAUAACACUUGGAAACAGGUGCUAAUACCGUAUAACAAUCGAAACCGCAUGGUUUUGAUUUGAAAGGCGCUUUCGGGUGUCGCUGAUGGAUGGACCCGCGGUGCAUUAGCUAGUUGGUGAGGUAACGGCUCACCAAGGCCACGAUGCAUAGCCGACCUGAGAGGGUGAUCGGCCACAUUGGGACUGAGACACGGCCCAAACUCCUACGGGAGGCAGCAGUAGGGAAUCUUCGGCAAUGGACGAAAGUCUGACCGAGCAACGCCGCGUGAGUGAAGAAGGUUUUCGGAUCGUAAAACUCUGUUGUUAGAGAAGAACAAGGAUGAGAGUAACUGUUCAUCCCUUGACGGUAUCUAACCAGAAAGCCACGGCUAACUACGUGCCAGCAGCCGCGGUAAUACGUAGGUGGCAAGCGUUGUCCGGAUUUAUUGGGCGUAAAGCGAGCGCAGGCGGUUUCUUAAGUCUGAUGUGAAAGCCCCCGGCUCAACCGGGGAGGGUCAUUGGAAACUGGGAGACUUGAGUGCAGAAGAGGAGAGUGGAAUUCCAUGUGUAGCGGUGAAAUGCGUAGAUAUAUGGAGGAACACCAGUGGCGAAGGCGGCUCUCUGGUCUGUAACUGACGCUGAGGCUCGAAAGCGUGGGGAGCAAACAGGAUUAGAUACCCUGGUAGUCCACGCCGUAAACGAUGAGUGCUAAGUGUUGGAGGGUUUCCGCCCUUCAGUGCUGCAGCUAACGCAUUAAGCACUCCGCCUGGGGAGUACGACCGCAAGGUUGAAACUCAAAGGAAUUGACGGGGGCCCGCACAAGCGGUGGAGCAUGUGGUUUAAUUCGAAGCAACGCGAAGAACCUUACCAGGUCUUGACAUCCUUUGACCACUCUAGAGAUAGAGCUUCCCCUUCGGGGGCAAAGUGACAGGUGGUGCAUGGUUGUCGUCAGCUCGUGUCGUGAGAUGUUGGGUUAAGUCCCGCAACGAGCGCAACCCUUAUUGUUAGUUGCCAUCAUUCAGUUGGGCACUCUAGCAAGACUGCCGGUGACAAACCGGAGGAAGGUGGGGAUGACGUCAAAUCAUCAUGCCCCUUAUGACCUGGGCUACACACGUGCUACAAUGGGAAGUACAACGAGUCGCGAAGUCGCGAGGCUAAGCUAAUCUCUUAAAGCUUCUCUCAGUUCGGAUUGUAGGCUGCAACUCGCCUACAUGAAGCCGGAAUCGCUAGUAAUCGCGGAUCAGCACGCCGCGGUGAAUACGUUCCCGGGCCUUGUACACACCGCCCGUCACACCACGAGAGUUUGUAACACCCGAAGUCGGUGAGGUAACCUUUUGGAGCCAGCCGCCUAAGGUGGGAUAGAUGAUUGGGGUGAAGUCGUAACAAGGUAGCCGUAUCGGAAGGUGCGGCUGGAUCACCUCCUUU